UCAUAUGGUGAUAUAACAAGGAACCCAUGUUAUCACAUGGAAGCAACUACACCUGCAACUAGCAACGCUAUCUAAUGGUUAAGCAAGCGGUAACAUAGUCAAUCAGUAGUUUCCUAGGUCGUAGAAAGGUUGAAGGUUUUCAUGACAAUGUUGAGAGGCUGACAUUUAACAUCUGGUAGGUAGGGAGACAUAACAAAAGAAACGAGACAACUAGCAUUGCAUUGAUAGUAAUGGUAUCUAGGGAAAUGGUCAUCUUGCGUGUGAUCCAGCUUGGAAGAAGAACGAAUCCGUGAAGCAGCCGAACCGACGUAGUUGAACGGAUCCUGAAUUCCGGCACGCUUGUUCAAAUCUAUCAAGAAAAAGCGAACCGGAAACAAGAAUCAACACGCGAUAUUCACCAUGGCACAUGCUCUAUGUUAUGCACACCCUAAUAUGAUGCAUGAUCGGUUCAAUUAUGCAAGGUAUGGCAUGGCAAUUCACAACAAUCAAACAUACACGUUAACUGAAGCUCAAUAUGCAACGAGUUGCAUAUUGAUGAAAAUCCUCAUUUAAAUAUUUAAUUCACUCUCAUUUAGGUACACGAGAAUUUAAAAAUGUUGUUAACAUGGCAAGAGAUGAAGCAUGUGAUUCUACACGUCAUUCUAGUCGGUUUACGUAUAUAGCUCAUCUCCAAUGAAGCCACGGUUAACUAGCUACGAAUUAACCAGAUUUAGCAUGGCAUCAUGCAAAACGAGGCAAACAACAAGGUUAACAGUUUUAAAUAUGCAUGAGAGCUAGAAAAUAUUAAUCUAAAUAAGAUUCUACAUGUUCUACAUAUCUAACUUAUUUCGAUACGACGCACGGUUUAAAAGAUAUGACAUUUUUAAAACAUGGCAUUUUCUAAAUUGAUGGAUAAAGGAGAAAUUCGCACGAUCGAAAACACAACUGGGCCAAAUUGCACCAUAGUGCAGCAGCCCGAGAUUGGAUCAGGCCCAAGUGACUGUGUGCGCGUGGGUGAAAAAAGAAAAAGAAAGGAUGGCAAAAGUUUUAAGGUGCUAGGUAUCGAUCCAAGGACCUCCUUGACUGAAUCCACAGUGCGAAACAGCUGGGAUGGCUACCUGUGUGUGAAUGAACAGGGGCUCAAUUUUAAUUGAAGCAAAGAUAGAAGCUAAUACGUGGGAGAAGGAAAAAAUGCGUGAAAAUAUAAUGCAUCCGUGGGGAGUCAAAUCCAUGAUCCCAUGGUUCUAGACCAAAGCGCUGACCAGCUGGGCUAGCUGGGCAUUUGUGUUCGGAAUCGGACAUCGAUCUAUAAGAGAAAAACCAGAGGGUCUACCUUCUUCCUCGUCGCGAACAGAGGACAUCAGUGACGACGCCGACGACUAAGGAAGCGACCAUGGUUCCAAUAACCCACGGCGGGGGUGUGGAAACAUAUGGGAAUUCGGUUCCUCACCUUAUUGGGCUGGUGUGGUAACGCGAGCGGGCACGGGAGGGAGCGGCGCGAUGCAUAGGCUGCAUGGCGGGGUCUUCUUCUGCUACUACUCGCUGAAGCUUGUUCCGACUUCGGCGGGCCGGCUAGGAGGGGCGCGGGCACGGAGUUUGAAGGUUGCAGUUCCAAAUCCGGAUGCGAGGAGGCAGAUCGAACCGGAGCUCGUAAUGUGGCCAUGGCAUCCACGACACUUUGCCUGUUCCUGGUUCAAGGAGAGAGAUGAGACAGAGGAAAGAUUCAGAGUGGGAAAACACGGGAGAGAAGCAGGGAUAGAUGGCGGACGGGCGCGGCGCCACGGCGAGGUGGCGACGGGCGUCUGACGAUGGCUUGCGGGAGCGGGGUCCUUCCGUGGGGCUUACCCCCUAGUGGCUUGCGUGACUGCGGGAGUUGGUUCCCCGUGGUCGCAUGCUCGACCGCUGCUACGGCUUGGGCACAUGCGCGACACCAUUGCAGCAGCUGCGUGGAGUGAGCGUCGCCUCUGCUCGGCUGCCUUCGCAGCGAGGUGAGGAAGGGCACAUGCGGCUAGAGUCCUCGGGG
rnacentral:lncRNA from 1 species